AAAAAAUAACUAAAAAUUCAAAAAUAAAUAAGAUCAAAUUAAAAUAGAGAAAAAAAUAAUAAUAAAUUUCAAAAAAUUGAAAAUUCAAAAAAGUUUUUUCCAUUUUCAAAUAUAAUGUCGGAAAUUACAUUGAAGAUAUGCCAAAAACAUUCAUUGGAGAUAUGUCGGAAAUCACGGUUUUUGGCAUAUCUCCAAUGACGGUUUUUGGCAUAUCUCCAAUGAUAAUUUCUGACAUUAUAUUUGAAAAUGAAUGUUGAUAAAAAAUUCAUUUUCAUUUUCAUUUUUUUUUUGAAAUUUAUGUUUUUUUUUAUUUUUCUCCAUUUUAAAUUGAUCUUAUUUAUUUUUUGAUUUUUUUUUAUUUAAUUUUUUAAAUCUUUAUUUAUUUUUUGAUUUUUUUUUAAUUUAUGAGUUUUUUUGUUUAAUUUUUCGAUUUUUAUUAAUUUUUUUUGUUUAUUUUAUUAAUUAAAUAAUUAUUUUUGAAAAACAAAACUGUUUUUAACCUGUUCAGCCGGUCAUUUUUCUUGUUUGGAGGUUUUUUAUGAUAAAAAUGUCACUUUGAAGGUUAAAAGUAUUAGUAAAAAAACUUCAAAGUUUAAAGUGCUAGUAAUUAACACUUUCAAGGUUUUUUACGUGAUUUUCCCCUUAUCAAAAUGUUAGUUUUUAAUAUUUUUGAAAUAUAAGAACUUUUUUU
rnacentral:lncRNA from 1 species